GCGCUGACUCCAAAGGCACAUGUACUAAAAUGGGAACAACACAGAGAAGAUGAGUGUGGCUUCUGUGCAAGGAUGACACAAAAAUUCAUGAAGCCUUCCAUAUUCUU
ensembl:snRNA U6 U6 spliceosomal RNA